rnacentral:rRNA from 1 species
UACAGGGGGGGCAAGCGUUGUCCGGAAUUACUGGGUGUAAAGGGUCCGUAGGCGGAUCGGUAAGUCAGUGGUUAAAUCCUGCAGCUUAACUGUAGACUAUCCAUUGAUACUGCCGGUCUUGAGUGCGAGAGAGAUGAGUGGAAUUCCAAGUGUAGCGGUGAAAUGCGUAGAGAUUUGGAAGAACACCAGUUGCGAAGGCGGCUCAUUGGCUCGCUACUGACGCUGAGGGACGAAAUCAUGGGGAGCAAACAGG